UACCCUCAGGUAGACUUUCAGACAAGGC
rnacentral:piRNA from 1 species